GACGAAGGUGGUAAGCGUUGCUCGGAAUUACUGGGCAUAAAGAGCGCGUAGGUGGCGCGGUCAGCGGGAGAUGACAUCCCAUGGCUCACCCAUGGAACUGUUUCUCGAACUGCCGUGCUUGAGGUCGAGAGGGGAGAGUGGAAUUCCUGGUGUAGCGGUGAAAUGCGUAGAUAUCAGGAGGAACACCGGUGGCGAAAGCGACUCUCUGGCUCGAUCCUGACACUGAGGCGCGAAAGCUAGGGGAGCAAACAGG
rnacentral:rRNA from 1 species